rnacentral:rRNA from 1 species
UACGGAGGGUGCAAGCGUUAAUCGGAAUUACUGGGCGUAAAGCGCGCGUAGGCGUUUGCUAAGUCAGAUGUGAAAUCCCCCGGGCUCAACCUGGGAAUGGCAUUUGAGACUGGUAGGCUAGAAUGUGGUAGAGGUGAGUGGAAUUCCAGGUGUAGCGGUGAAAAUGCGUAGAGAUCUGGAGGAACAUCAGUGGCGAAGGCGGCACUCUGGACCAAUACUGACACUGAGGUGCGAAAAGCGUGGGGAGCAAAACAGGAUUAGAUACCCCCUGUAGUCC